CGACUGUUGUAGUCCCCCUCCAGU
rnacentral:miRNA from 1 species